ACGAACGCUGGCGGCGUGCCUCAUACAUGCAAGUAGAACGCUGAAGGCGGAGCUUGCUUCUCUGGAUGAGUUGCGAACGGGUGAGUAACGCGUAGGUAACCUGCCUGGUAGCGGGGGAUAACUAUUGGAAACGAUAGCUAAUACCGCAUAAUAGUAGAUGUUGCAUGACAUUUGCUUAAAAGGUGCAAUUGCAUCACUACCAGAUGGACCCGCGUUGUAUUAGCUAGUUGGUGGGGUAACGGCUCACCAAGGCGACGAUACAUAGCCGACCUGAGAGGGUGAUCGGCCACACUGGGACUGAGACACGGCCCAGACUCCUACGGGAGGCAGCAGUAGGGAAUCUUCGGCAAUGGACGGAAGUCUGACCGAGCAACGCCGCGUGAGUGAAGAAGGGUUUCGGAUCGUAAAGCUCUGUUGUAAGAGAAGAACGAGUGUGAGAGUGGAAAGUUCACACUGUGACGGUAUCUUACCAGAAAGGGACGGCUAACUACGUG
rnacentral:rRNA from 1 species